GGGGGGGGGGGGAGGAGGGCAACGCGCGAGCCGCCAACCUGGCGGCCAGGCUGACGGCGGCCGAAGGGACCCGGAGGAAAGAUCUGGAGAGACUGAAAACCAGUGAGGAGAGGGGAAAGGAACUGGAGCGCCGUCUCUCGGGGUUGGAGCGGGAGCUGCGCAGGGCCUGGGGACGUCCCCGCACUGUCCCCGUGUCCCCAGGGGGUGACAGCGAGCCCGGCGACGACGGCCAGGCCACCAGCGUGUGACGGGGAUGUCACCAAAUGUCACCAACUGCCACCAGUGUCACCAUCUGCCACCAGCGUGUGACAGGGAUGUCACCAAAUGUCACCAACUACCACCAGUGUCACCAACUGCCACCAGCGUGUGACAGGGAUGUCACCAAAUGUCACCAACUACCACCAGUGUCACCAACUGCCACCAGCGUGUGACAGGGAUGUCACCAGUGUCACCAACUGCCACCAGUGUCACCAUCUGUCACCAGCGUGUGACGGGGAUGUCACCAGUGUCACCAACUGCCACCAGUGUCACCAUCUGUCACCAGCGUGUGACGGGGAUGUCACCAGUGUCACCAACUGCCACCAGUGUCACCAUCUGUCACCAGCGUGUGACGGGGAUGUCACCAGUGUCACCAACUGCCACCAGUGUCACCAUCUGUCACCAGCGUGUGACGGGGAUGUCACCAGUGUCACCAACUGCCACCAGUGUCACCAUCUGUCACCAGCGUGUGACGGGGAUGUCACCAGUGUCACCAACUGCCACCAGU